UGAGAAAGGGAGGAACUCAUGAGAGCUAGAUCAUGAGGAGCUUGAGGAUUCAUCAAAUUUCUAAGGUAGGAGAUUAGAAUUCAUGAUUCUUGAGUGGCAAGGAGAGGGGAGAUUGUCUAUGUCUCCAUUCCCGAACUCUCCCACUCAAUUUCUUUUUAGACUUUUGAUUAAGCUUUUGUAUGUGAGUGUGAUGUUCUUCAUCAUCACUUUGUAUGUGUUAAUCACUAGCUUGAUUCCAUGAAAAAUAUGUAUGUGUUUGAAUCACGUUUGAAAAGUUUAUGAAAGUUGCUUAAAAUCCAA
rnacentral:lncRNA from 1 species